rnacentral:snRNA from 1 species
UCACUUUGGCAGUACAAAUACUAAAAUUGGAAUGAUACAGGGAUUAUCAUGGCUUCUAUGCAAGGAUGACACAAAUUUGUGAAGUGUUCCAUGUUAAA